GACGAACGCUGGCGGCGUGCUUAACACAUGCAAGUCGAACGGAAAGGCCCUGCUUGUGUGGGGUGCUCGAGUGGCGAACGGGUGAGUAACACGUGAGUAACCUGCGCUGGACUUUGGGAUAACUUCAGGAAACUGGGGCUAAUACCGGAUAGGAGCUCCUGCUGCAUGGUGGGGGUUGGAAAGUUUCGGCGGUUGGGGAUGGACUCGCGGCUUAUCAGCUUGUUGGUGGGGUAGUGGCUUACCAAGGCUUUGACGGGUAGUCGGCCUGAGAGGGUGACCGGCCACAUUGGGACUGAGAUACGGCCCAGACUCCUACGGGGGACAGCAGUGGAGAAUAUUGCACAAUGGGCGGAAGCGUGAUGCGGCAGCGCCGCGUGCGGGAUGACGGCCUUCGGGUUGUAAACCGCUUUCGCCUGUGACGAAGCGUGAGUGACGGUAAUGAGUAAAGAAGCACCGGCUAACUACGUG
rnacentral:rRNA from 1 species